GAGCUGGGGAAGGCUGUCCACGUGCUUUUGUGCAUGUAGUACUGGUCUUCAAGCUCACUUUUCCUAUGGACAUGUGGAGAUCAAAAGGGUUUAUCUCCUUGUUCUUUUUCUUUGCAAACUAGGUCCAGAGAAGUGUAUCUCGGUUUUCUCUAUGCUCUUCGACCAAAACUUGGUAGUCUAGCGUCUGCUAAUGCUUUUGUAACCGAAGCAAGCCAACUAAAACUGUCCCACCGCCCAGAGCACACCCUUGCACUCCCUGCAUCCAGAUCGUGGUGACCACGCCCAUUCCUUUUCGGUCUCAUCGUGGCCAGCCGUUCUCAAGGUUAACCGGAACAUCGCCACGCCGCCAGUAAACACCGCCGAGGGAGUGUCUUCGCGUCGACCGACUAAAUUGUUGUCUCUCCGAGCCAACCAAUAGCACCUAGAAGAUGAAGUUGAAGUGGAAGUAGAAGGAGAACAAAUUCCCCAACCAGAAGCUUCUACAUCUGAAGUUCCUCCUGAAGGUCCUUCUGAAGAACCUCCUCCUGAGAACAGGGCUUAUUUUGAUAUCUGUGGUGAGGUGGUAGUGUCUCCUCCACAUCAAGGCAAGCCUCGGUGCAUUUAACCAAUUUCCUUGCAUUUUCAAAGCUUUUAUCACUUAUAUGAUGCAUUAGGUGAUAGGAGUUGAAUGAUUAAACACUUGUUGCAUAAAUCAUUCCUUGGAAUAUUCCACCGCCACCACAAUGGAGCCAGUUUGCAUCCACACUAGCUCUGCCACCACAGUUCAACACCCCUCCGACACAUAUACCGACACCUAGAGAUAGGGUACGUUUGAUAACUCUCGAUGAAUUUAUACACUUGUAUACUUUUUGAUAUUUGCAUUUAACGUGUUGAUAUUUGCUAACUUGCAUAGGUUAUGCUCGAAGCGUGUGGUAGUGGGUCUGAUCCCACAGCAGGGACUGGAUUUGUUGACUCCCUCUUCGCGUUCCCUUCUCCUGGUGGUGGUGGCGGCAGCGGUCAAAGCUCUAACCACCCAAGUGGUGGUUAUCUCUAAACACUUGAACUCGUGCACGCUAUGUUUCUUAACUCGUUGACUCUAUGUUUUUUGCGAACUAAACACUUGAACUUAUGUCGUACUUUCUAUUUGAAAUGUUUGUGUAAACUAUGUUGGUGAAUGUUAUGUUUGUAAUUCGUGAAUUGAUUAUGAAUGCAUGUGUUUGUAA